GUUUGCUUUUGGGUUUCGUUCUGAACCGUCUCACAUUCCUCCCCCAAAAAAUGAUAAUCGCUUCCAAUCAGCGGAGCGCCACCAAAGCGCACAUCAAAGACAACAUUAUCUUUAAUUGAAGUUCAGAGUUGGGCGACAGGCACCACCGUCAGGUGCUCUGGCUGCACCCAGCGACGGUCGCUCACGUGACCCAGCAGCAUCUCCGAGUUCACGCGGUUCAGCAGCCCCGAUCCGUGUUUUCACUUUCAAUCGCCAACAUCAAAAAAACACAGUUUUUCCCCUACAUCACGUGUCCAGACAAGCGGCUUGGCUCCGAGUCGCUCGUCGCUUUGAUUAUGACGCUUUCUUUUAUUCCCGUCGAAUUUAACCCCAAUCAGACCUAAAAUGCUCCCUUUUUAUGGGCCUUGGGCAGAUGGACCAGCCCAGUUUGUGUUCUGCUGCUGCCGUAAUGGAAAACAGCGUUUUAAGCGAGUCCAUACCCUGGCUGACUUGUGAAAUACCUACAUUCUUGAAGCCUUUGUUUUUUACCUCAACUACCUGUCCUCUGGAAAUCAGAUCCGUGUCACGUGAGCGUCGGCCAGAGGUGACAACUCAAACGAGGGUCAUCCCCAGCGCAGAUAAUUCAGCGGGAAGGUGAGUCCGAUCUGUGUCUUUUGCUCGAUUCAUUUAUAUGCAAUAAAAAAGAGUAAUUGUCGGCUGAGGGAAAUGUUGAAUGAAAGACGGUUCCCGACAUUAAAUGGCGCUG
rnacentral:lncRNA from 1 species